GUCUCUUCGGAGACAUCCGAUAAAAUUGGAACGAUAAAAAUAAGAUUAGCAUGGCCCCUGCACAAGGAUGACAUGCACAAAUCGAAAAAUGGUCCAAUUUUUU
rnacentral:snRNA from 1 species